CACAGGGGGACCUGUGACACCUUGGAGUGGCUACCUGGGACACAGGCUGGACAAGACUAACAGAAUAAAAGCAGGACCAGAACUGGAAAACAUUCUUCUCUCCAAGCUGCUUUUGCUCUUCAGAGUAUUUUCCUGCAAACUAAAUCUCCAUGCCUAAGGAGAGCAGUGAGGGAUGAGAAAUAGGAAAAAAGUGGGAGUCAUACAGGAGGCACCAGGCGCUGCUGCUGUCUUUGGAGGAAGUUCAGGCCAUUGCAUUUGUCACGCUGCUCAGAUGAGCUGGCUGCCACACGCAAACACAACAGAGCAGAUGAUGAAAAGCAUUCGCAGUUGCUGAAGAACUUGUUACGUACCAGGACCAGCAUGAACCUGAAAGUGGAUAUGGAGAUUUAUUUAUUCUUCUUUCUUUCCUUGGAUGGCAGGGGGGAAGAUGUUUCUUUCUUUUUCUCUCACUCUUUUUGUUCUUUCUUUUUUUUUUUUUUUUUAAGCUGUAAACAAAGCAAGAUAUUCCCAUUCACCUUAGCGAAUGGACGGAUGUUUCCCUCGUUGUAAAAACAAGCAGCAGUCAGUGGCUGAAUGUGUGGCCGUAACAAGAUAUAUCUACAUAACACAUGUGUUUUCAGACAAAAGAAGAGAGAAUAAAGGCCUGGUACAAAUCACAAAUUCUCAGAACAUCCUUCUGCUUUCUGCCACCAGCACCUCAUGCUCACACGGCGCUCCCCUUGCCAGGAGACCCCCAUUCCUCCACUGUGACGUGCCAAAAUCUAAACAAUGACUAUG